rnacentral:rRNA from 1 species
AUUGAACGCUGGCGGCAUGCCUUACACAUGCAAGUCGAACGGCAGCACGGGAGCAAUCCUGGUGGCGAGUGGCGAACGGGUGAGUAAUAUAUCGGAACGUGCCCAGUCGUGGGGGAUAACGCAGCGAAAGCUGUGCUAAUACCGCAUACGAUCUACGGAUGAAAGCGGGGGAUCGCAAGACCUCGCGCGCUUGGAGCGGCCGAUAUCAGAUUAGCUAGUUGGUGAGGUAAAGGCUCACCAAGGCGACGAUCUGUAGCUGGUCUGAGAGGACGACGAGCCACACUGGAACUGAGACACGGUCCAGACGCCUACGGGAGGCAGCAGUGGGGAAUUUUGGACAAUGGGCGAAAGCCUGAUCCAGCAAUGCCGCGUGCAGGAUGAAGGCCUUCGGGUUGUAAACUGCUUUUGUACGGAACGAAACGGUGAGCUCUAAUACAGUUUGCUAAUGACGGUACCGUAAGAAUAAGCACCGGCUAACUACGUGCCAGCAGCCGCGGUAA